CCUACGGGUGGCUGCAGUGAGGAAUAUUGGUCAAUGGGCUUACGCCUGAACCAGCCAAGUCGCGUGAGGGAAGACUGCCCUAUGGGUUGUAAACCUCUUUUGUCAGGGAGCAACGCCGGCUACGUGUAGCCGGACUGAGGUUACCUGAAGAAAAAGCACCGGCAAACUCCGUCCAACCGGCCGCGGUAAUACGGGGGAUGCGAGCGUUAUCCGGAUUUAUGGGGUUUAAGGGGUGCGUAGGCGGAAUGCCAAGUAAGCGGUAAAAUCGCGGGGCUAAACCUAGCUCGGCAGUUGAAACUGGCGUUCUUGAGUGGGCGAGAAGUAUGCGGAAUGCGUGGUGUAGCGGUGAAAUGCAUAGAUAUCACGCAGAACUCCGAUUGCGAAGGCAGCAUACCGGAGCGCAACUGACGCUGAAGCACGAAAGCGUGGGUAUCGAACAGGAUUAGAUACCCGGGUAGUC
rnacentral:rRNA from 1 species